rnacentral:rRNA from 1 species
UACGGGGGGGGCAAGCGUUGUUCGGAAUUACUGGGCGUAAAGGGCUCGUAGGCGGCCAACUAAGUCAGACGUGAAAUCCCUCGGCUUAACCGGGGAACUGCGUCUGAUACUGGACGGCUUGAAUCCGGGAGAGGGAUGCGGAAUUCCAGGUGUAGCGGUGAAAUGCGUAGAUAUCUGGAGGAACACCGGUGGCGAAGGCGGCAUCCUGGACCGGCAUUGACGCUGAGGAGCGAAAGCCAGGGGAGCAAACGGG